CUCGUCUUCAUUCUCACCCGGCUCAUCUCAUUCCGCGUUCUCUCGGUCCUUGCGGCCGUUCUUGUGGCCCAGAGUUUUGUCUCCCCGUUGUGUCCCCUCGUCUGUUGUCUUGUGUGUCACGGGUGUCUGGGUGUAGUUGUCCCGGAGCUGCUCUGUCCUGCUGCCCAGCCUGGGUGUAGGUGUAAAAGGCCGAGUCCUAGGCCCCUGUAAUUUGAAAUUUGUCAUGUAGGGUGUAGUUGGAGUCUAGCGGGUGUUCCUAGAUUGACACAAGAUGCGUGGAGCUGUAAAGUUACCCUGCAGCACUUUGACUUUUGUCUCAGCUUUCUUUCAGAUGCGGACGGAUAAAAUCGGUGGCAGAGCGCCCCAUCCAGGGUAAGGGGGUUCCCGCGAGAAGGUAAGUCAAUGUUUGUCUUUGCAGGGCAACUGGAACCGGUCACUGUGUUACAGGUCUCCUCUUUGUGUUUAUUUUUAGGAAGUAGAGCCAGCUGGCAGCAGUCAAGGCGAAGUGGGCAAGGCGGUCCAGUCGCAUUUCCCCGAGACCCCCUCGCCAACCGGCCGGCACAGCUGCUUCGCCGCUCCCGUGAGCCCUGCGGAAGCGUUAUGGAACCGUGUGACGCAGCCUUUUCCACGUAAAGGGGCCGUGUGGGUGGCCUUCAGGAACGGGCCGAGGGGUUGCCGCGCGCCCUGUGACGACGGCGUCCAGCUCCCGGCGCGGCCGAAGCGCGCGGCCUCAGGAUGCGGCCGUGCGCAGGAGACCCUGACCGAGAGACGGCAGCCUGGCGAUGGCAGGAACUUCCCAGAUGGCGAGGCGGCCUUCCUUGGCGCUCCAUGUGGAUCCUCCCCGCUAGGCAUCCGAGAGCUGAGUCGGAGGCUGCGAAUUGCAGAGGGGCUGAAAUCGGGGUGCCGGGUCGGGACUCUGGACCUGGGGUUAUGGAGUCAGCUUUGGGGACGGGGAGGUCCAGGCUGUGGCCCCUUAGGCCACGUGAAGGGAGAGCCUCACAUUUGUUCACAGUGCUGAGGUGUGCAGGACAGAGCAGUCCCGGGGCGUGUCCCAUCACUUGUC